CAAAAUAUAGCUAGAUAGAAAGUUUCUCUUUUACAUAGAGUAGAGGUUUGUGCAAUUCAAACUGUUUUGA
rnacentral:tRNA from 1 species